UUUUCUCAGUUCCAAACUCAUGUAUUACUUUCCCAUUGCCGCUGUAACAAAUUACCACAAACUUAGUGGCUUAAAACAACACAAAUAUAUUCUCUUACAGUUAUGGAAGUCAGAAGCCUAAAAUCUGUUUCAC